rnacentral:lncRNA from 1 species
GCUACUGGUCAGCGGCUAUGAACUUCCGGCGGCUAAUUACUCCAUUUGUUUCAUAAUAUUUUUUUGUUGCAUAAUAUACAUAAUAGUGAAUUUUUGAGCCCUCUUAGUAAUAUUAUAUUAUAACACGAAUACCUUAAUUUAGAGUUUUUAUUUAAAUUUUUAAUUUUAUUUUUUUUAUAUUACAAGAAGUAUACAUUGAUGUCAAAUAUGAGAGAUACUGAAUCUGCAAAAAAUUGGAUUAUAGUGGGGUAAUAAUACUCACUUUAUGCAUGAUUUGAUUGAACACAAAAUAAUACAGUAAACACAUAAAAUAAUAGGCUAUUUUUGAAGAAAACACUUGAAACUCAUGA